UAAUUUAACCUCGAUAACCCCUAACGUAU
rnacentral:sRNA from 1 species